rnacentral:rRNA from 1 species
AAAGCGAGUCUGAAUAGGGCGCAUAAGUAACAGGUCGUAGACCCGAAACCAGGUGAUCUACCCAUGUCCAGGAUGAAGGUAAGGUAAUACUUACUGGAGGUCCGAACCCACGCACGUUGAAAAGUGCGGGGAUGAGGUGUGGGUAGCGGAGAAAUUCCAAUCGAACUUGGAGAUAGCUGGUUCUCUCCGAAAUAGCUUUAGGGCUAGCCUCGAGGUAAAGAGUCAUGGAGGUAGAGCACUGUUUGGACUAGGGGCCCUUCUCGGGUUACCGAAUUCAGAUAAACUCCGAAUGCCAUGUACUUAUACUCGGGAGUCAGACUGCGAGUGAUAAGAUCCGUAGUCGAAAGGGAAACAGCCCAGACCACCAGUUAAGGUCCCCAAAUAUAUGUUAAGUGGAAAAGGAUGUGGGGUUGCUUAGACAACCAGGAUGUUGGCUUAGAAGCAGCCACCAUUGAAAGAGUGCGUAAUAGCUCACUGGUCGAGUGACCCCGCGCCGAAAAUGUACCGGGGCUAAACAUAUUACCGAAACUGUGGAUGAACCUCUUUAGAGGUUCGUGGUAGGAGAGCGUUCUAAGGGCGGUGAAGUCAGACCGGAAGGACUGGUGGAGCGCUUAGAAGUGAGAAUGCCGGUAUGAGUAGCGAAAGAAGGGUGAGAAUCCCUUCCACCGAAUAUCUAAGGUUUCCUGAGGAAGGCUCGUCCGCUCAGGGUUAGUCGGGACCUAAGCCGAGGCCGAUAGGCGUAGGCGAUGGACAACAGGUAGAGAUUCCUGUACCAGUGCUAAUUGUUUAACCGAUGGGGUGACACAGAAGGAUAGGGAAUCGCACGAAUGGAAAUGUGCGUCCAAGCAGUGAGUGUGAGAAGUAGGCAAAUCCGCUUCUCGCGAAGCAUGAGCUGUGAUGGGGAAGGAAAUUAAGUACGGAAGUUCCUGAUUUCACGCUGUCAAGAAAAGCCUCUAGGAAGAGUAGUACUGCCCGUACCGCAAACCGACACAGGUAGAUGAGGAGAGAAUCCUAAGGUGAGCGAGAGAACUCUCGUUAAGGAACUCGGCAAAAUGACCCCGUAACUUCGGGAGAAGGGGUGCUCUAUUAGGGUGCAAGCCCGAGAGAGCCGCAGUGAAUAGGCCCAGGCGACUGUUUAGCAAAAACACAGGUCUCUGCAAAACCGUAAGGUGACGUAUAGGGGCUGACGCCUGCCCGGUGCUGGAAGGUUAAGAGGAGUGCUUAGCUUCGGCGAAGGUACGAAUUGAAGCCCCAGUAAACGGCGGCCGUAACUAUAACGGUCCUAAGGUAGCGAAAUUCCUUGUCGGGUAAGUUCCGACCCGCACGAAAGGCGCAACGAUCUGGGCACUGUCUCAACGAGAGACUCGGUGAAAUUAUAGUACCUGUGAAGAUGCAGGUUACCCGCGACAGGACGGAAAGACCCCGUGGAGCUUUACUGCAACCUGAUAUGGAAUGUUUGUACCGCUUGUACAGGAUAGGUAGGAGCCGAAGAGACGUGUGCGCUAGCAUACGAGGAGGCAAUGGUGGGAUACUACCCUGGCUGUAUGACCAUUCUAACCCGCCACGCUUAGCGCGUGGGGAGACAGUGUCAGGUGGGCAGUUUGACUGGGGCGGUCGCCUCCUAAAGAGUAACGGAGGCGCCCAAAGGUUCCCUCAGAAUGGAUGGAAAUCAUUCGCAGAGUGUAAAGGCACAAGGGAGCUUGACUGCGAGACUGACAAGUCGAGCAGGGACGAAAGUCGGGCUUAGUGAUCCGGUGGUUCCGCAUGGAAGGGCCAUCGCUCAACGGAUAAAAGCUACCCCGGGGAUAACAGGCUUAUCUCCCCCAAGAGUCCACAUCGACGGGGAGGUUUGGCACCUCGAUGUCGGCUCGUCGCAUCCUGGGGCUGUAGUCGGUCCCAAGGGUUGGGCUGUUCGCCCAUUAAAGCGGCACGCGAGCUGGGUUCAGAACGUCGUGAGACAGUUCGGUCCCUAUCCGUCGCGGGCGCAGGAAAUUUGAGAGGAGCUGUCCUUAGUACGAGAGGACCGGGAUGGACACACCGCUGGUGUACCAGUUGUUCCGCCAGGAGCAUCGCUGGGUAGCUAUGUGUGGCAGGGAUAAACGCUGAAAGCAUCUAAGCGUGAAGCCCCCCUCAAGAUGAGAUUUCCCAUUUCUUCGGAAAGUAAGAUCCCUGAAAGAUGAUCAGGUAGAUAGGUUUGGAGUGGAAGUGUAGCGAUACAUGGAGCGGACAAAUACUAAUCGAUCGAGGACUUAACCAA